UCCGAAGGGGGCUAGCGUUGCUCGGAAUCACUGGGCGUAAAGCGCACGUAGGCGGAUUGCUAAGUCAGGGGUGAAAUCCUGGAGCUCAACUCCAGAACUGCCUUUGAUACUGGCGGUCUCGAGUCCGGGAGAGGUGAGUGGAACUGCGAGUGUAGAGGUGAAAUUCGUAGAUAUUCGCAAGAACACCAGUGGCGAAGGCGGCUCACUGGCCCGGUACUGACGCUGAGGUGCGAAAGCGUGGGGAGCAAACAGG
rnacentral:rRNA from 1 species